CUUGGAAAGAUCUGGCAUUUAAUUGGUGACAUAAGUAAGUGGCGUAUAAGUGGUACAAAUAAUUGGCGAUCUGCAUUCAUUUGAAAGAUAUCUACUAAAAAUUUCUCUCCAGAGGAUGAUUAUCCUGCCAGCCCUACUCAUGUUAGGUUUGCCUUGGCCAUCUGAAAGAUGCUUACUCUAGCUGUAUGACCACCAUCUAUGUGACUGCUCUGCAAUCCACUUGGAACUUCCUAGCAGGACCACCCAGAAGCUGCAGCUGGUGCAGAGUAUGGUGGCUGCCUGUUUACAUGAGAAUGUGAGCUGAAGAAAGUGGACCUGCUUUCUGCUGUCAGCCAAAGCCUCUAUUCCUGUGGAAAGAUCCAGCAUGGAAUCUAGAAAUAUCCCUAAGUUUUAGGCCCUAUUUUCCAAACAUAGAGGUGUUCCCCUCUCAGAAUUGGGGCAGAAGAAA